rnacentral:lncRNA from 1 species
CCGCCGCAGCUGCAGAGGUCCUGGCCAAAGCCAACUUGGUUUGGAAGCCCGGCUCCAGCAGCAGCAGCGGAGUCUGGAAAUGAAGCAAAUGAGCGAGUUGUUCUUGGCCAUCUUCCCUCAGCUGGGCUCACAUCAGUGAGCUCUGACCUCAGGCAUCACACAUUUCAAUAUCCUCAGACUCCUGGGGUUCAGAGAUGCUGGGCCCUGAGCAGGACAGGGGACACACUACACUCAGAGUGUGGGAUUUGGGGCAGAGGCAUCUGAGGUGGUGAUAUUCCUUUGGACAUCAGUCCUUGGAGAGGCAGAGAGAACUUUCUGGUCUGCUGGAUCAGGGUCUGUGGUCCCGAGAGUGGGCCCUGGUAUGGCUGUGAAUAGGUGAGAAUGAGAUUAGUGAAUAGUGAGGGUCAGGGGCUGACUCUAGCCACCCUCAUCCCCACAGACCCUCUCUGAACUGUCAGGGAACUAAGAUAUAACUUCCUUAGAAAUGGCAAGCUCCUACAAACGAGGUGGCCUCAACCAGACAGCCUCCACAAACUGGCACCAGAAUUCCUGAGGUCCUGGGAGAACCCAGUUCAAACCUGGGUGGUCAGGGACAAGAACUGCCCUGCGACAGACAGCACUGCCCAAGGCCUCAGCCCCAACCACACAGCCCUGCCCGGUGAAUCACUUUGAAGUGAGGGGUUCCGGACCUGUGGUGGGCUCAGGGAGCCUGUGUGGCGGGAAUGGGCAGGCUGGGUAGCUUGUCCUUCUGGGUUUCCAGGCAGCUCCUCCCUCUCUGAAGAGGAUGCCAGAGCCGCAGCCCCAGGGCCUGGAAACUGGGAUCCCAGCAGGCUGAGUUCUGGUAGCUCUGUGGCUUUGAACUUGCCCCUUGCUUCUCAGAGUCCCAGGUUCACUUAUGUGUGAACUUUCAAGGGGUCCCUGUGAGUGUCAAAGGAGGGAGUCAUUGGAAGUGUUUGGUUUGGUGCCUGACAUGGGACAGGCCUCAGGGCAGCUUUAGGACGCAGCCUGCAUCCCUCAGUGUUUUACUUGGUACGGUGAGAUAGCCUCGACCACACCGGGCAGCCUGCACGGAAUUACUGUCUGUUGUGUAUGGUUUGGUUUGGUUCUGUUCAGGAGGCACUGUUGGGGAGGGGGGGUACCCUGUAAGUCAUGUGAUUUUUUUUUCCCCACACAUGUGUGCGUGCAUGCACUCUCUCAUGUACCAGAGGCCAGCCUCUGAUAUCUUUCUCCUUUGCUGUGUACCUCACUGUUUCAAACAGGGUCUCUUACUCAACCUAGAACUUCCCAGUUCAGGUAGACAGAUUAGCCAGUGAGCCUGAGGGAGUCUUUCUUCCUCCCCAGCAUCGAGAUCCUAGGCCUGUGAUCUCAUGCCUAGCUUUUUGUAUGGGGACUGGGGAUUUGAACCUGGUUUCUCAUGCCUACACCGUCAGCGCCCACGAGCCAUCUCCUCAGGCCUGUUGCUACUUUUGAUGGACUGACUCUAGCCUUGUGAUAAUAUUAAUAAUAUUUAAAUAAACUGGAGGAUAUUC